rnacentral:rRNA from 1 species
CAACCUGCCCACCACUUGGGGAUAACCUUGCGAAAGUAAGACUAAUACCCAAUGACGUCUCUAGAAGACAUCUGAAGGAGAUUAAAGAUUUAUCGGUGAUGGAUGGGGAUGCGUCUGAUUAGCUUGUUGGCGGGGUAACGGCCCACCAAGGCGACGAUCAGUAGGGGUUCUGAGAGGAAGGUCCCCCACAUUGGAACUGAGACACGGUCCAAACUCCUACGGGAGGCAGCAGUGAGGAAUAUUGGUCAAUGGACGAGAGUCUGAACCAGCCAAGUAGCGUGCAGGAUGACGGCCCUAUGGGUUGUAAACUGCUUUUAUACAGGAAUAAAGUUAGCCACGUGUGGUUAUUUGUAGGUACUGUAUGAAUAAGGACCGGCUAAUUCCGUGCCAGCAGCCGCGGUAGUACGGAAGGUCCGGGCGUUAUCCGGAUUUAUUGGGUUUAAAGGGAGCGUAGGCCGGAGAUUAAGCGUGUUGUGAAAUGUAGACGCUCAACGUCUGCACUGCAGCGCGAACUGGUUUCCUUGAGUACGCACAAAGUGGGCGGAAUUCGUGGUGUAGCGGUGAAAUGCUUAGAUAUCACGAAGAACUCCGAUUG